rnacentral:rRNA from 1 species
CCUACGGGAGGCAGCAGUGGGGAAUAUUGGACAAUGGGCGAAAGCCUGAUCCAGCAAUGCCGCGUGAGUGAUGAAGGCCUUAGGGUUGUAAAGCUCUUUUACCAGGGAUGAUAAUGACAGUACCUGGAGAAUAAGCUCCGGCUAACUCCGUGCCAGCAGCCGCGGUAAUACGGAGGGAGCUAGCGUUGUUCGGAAUUACUGGGCGUAAAGCGUGCGUAGGCGGCUAUUCAAGUCAGAGGUGAAAGCCCGGGGCUCAACCCCGGAACGGCCUUUGAAACUAGGUAGCUAGAAUCUUGGAGAGGUUAGUGGAAUUCCGAGUGUAGAGGUGAAAUUCGUAGAUAUUCGGAAGAACACCAGUGGCGAAGGCGACUAACUGGACAAGUAUUGACGCUGAGGUACGAAAGCGUGGGGAGCAAACAGGAUUAGAUACCCUGGUAGUCCACGCCGUAAACGAUGAUAACUAGCUGUCCGGGCACUUGGUGCUUGGGUGGCGCAGCUACGCAUUAAGUUAUCCGUCCGUCGGGUAGGUACGGUCGCGAGAGUUAAACGUAACGAAAGGAAAGUUAGACGGACGUGUAGACGUUGCGAACGGACGACGAACGAGGGAGGAGG